rnacentral:rRNA from 1 species
AGAGUUUGAUCAUGGCUCAGAAUCAACGCUGGCGGCGUGCCUAACACAUGCAAGUCGAACGCGAAAGUCCCGCAAGGGAUAAGUAGAGUGGCAAACGGGUGAGUAACACGUGGGUGACCUGCCUUCGAGUGGGGGAUAACGUCCCGAAAGGGACGCUAAUACCGCAUAACAUGCCGCCUUUUAACAGGCGGACAUCAAAGCUGGGGAUCGCAAGACCUAGCGCUGGAAGAGGGGCCCGCGUCUGAUUAGCUAGUUGGUGGGGUAAUGGCUCACCAAGGCAACGAUCAGUAGCCGGCCUGAGAGGGCGGACGGCCACACUGGGACUGAGACACGGCCCAGACUCCUACGGGAGGCAGCAGUGGGGAAUUGUUCGCAAUGGGCGCAAGCCUGACGACGCAACGCCGCGUGGAGGAUGAAGAUUUUCGGAUCGUAAACUCCUUUCGAUCGAGACGAAUGGCCUUCGGGUGAACAAUCCGGAGGAAUGACGGUACCGAGAGAAGAGCC